rnacentral:lncRNA from 1 species
GCAGGCUGAGCGUUCGUGACCCGCGUGCUGGCCCCGGCGUCCCGGCCCCGGAGUCUGCGAGGCGGAGGCGGGUGGCGGCACAUGCCGCGGCCGCCGCGGUGCGACCCUGGGCUUGGGGGGAUUUUUUUGGCCUGGAGGGCUCCUCUUCUCCGGCGGCGGUGAGCCGGGCAUCCCGCGGGGACUGGUAGCUGCCCGAGGGGCCGCCGCCGUCGCCAGUCCGGUAGCCCGGAUGUCGCUGCCCCCUGCGGCGGGGCCGCCAACGCGCUGCUUGGCCCCGGGAGGAGGAUCAUCUUAAAGGGACAGCGCCGCGUUCGGGCGGAGGGGGCGGCGCGUCCUGCCCUCAGUUCGCGACCCUGCCCCCGGGGUACGCCGCGGCGCCUGCUGCCCAGACCCCUUCCCCGGGCCGGGCGCCGUGGGAGCGCCGCGCGCUCUGACUGGAUUAGCCGCAGAUGGCCGACUAGAGCCAGGUUUUCCUCCGGCCGGAGCAGUGGCCGGUGGCGCCGCACGGGGCCGGGAGGCGCCGGCCUGUGAUUGGCCGAGGCCGCGGUGAAUGCAGGACAUUGUCUGGUCGCGGCCGUCUCCGUCCCUGCCCGACCGCCCUUCCUGGGAUCAAAAUGGGUGCGGAGCGAGGGUCCUGGACAGCCCCGCCUGGGGGCCUUUCAGUGGUGGGAACACCGUAGGGGAAAAUGUAACUGUUUUGAGAUUCUGAGACUGGCAUAAAGGUGCUGAUUUAAAAUACAAGCUCAGCUUUAACAAGGAGAUAAAAUACUUGGAUUUGACAUAAAGCUUUCCUUUAAGAUGAAAAAUAUUAAGGUAGUUGAAAAGGGUCAAGUGUUAUGAAAAUGACUUGGCUUUGUCUUCAGGAUUCUUUUAAUUAGGACCUGUGAUAAGUCAUCUGAAUGUCCUUUGUAAAAUGUUAAGGAAAAGUAUAAUAUAUAUGGUCAUAGUUUCCAUGUGUGUAAAGACGCGAGACUGCUUAGCUUUCCCAGUUUGCUUCCAUUGUUAAAAUACUGAUUCUGACUAGAGUUGAAAUCUUGAUGUGUCCUAUGGAUUGAAUCGUAUCUCAAGGCCUUGGAGUAGAUGAGACCUUUGAAAGAGCCCUUGAGAAGAUGAUAAUUCUCCCAAGAUUAUCUUUGAAAAUACGUGGGUGUUAUUUAAGUGAGGUUGUAAUCUCGUAGAGUGUAAUUGUGGAGUAAAUGAAAAUUAGGCUGGGCGCAAUGCUGUAGUCCCAACUACUUGGGAGGUUCACUUGAGCCCUGGAGUUUGAGUCCAGCCUGGGCAACAUAGUUAAACCCCUGUCUCUUUAAAAAAAAAAAAAAAAGAAAAAGAAAAUUAAAACAAUAGAGGAAUAUGUGAAGACACCCGUGAAAUAAGAGAUACACAUGAUAAAUGAAGAUUUUGAAUAAAAUAAACUUGGUAUUUGCUUUAAAAAAACUGGGUAGAAAAAAUAUUGUAAAGUUAAAAGCAGACGUGUAGAGAUAGAGAUUUUUUUAGCAUCAGUUUCAUAUCUUUUCAAAACUAAAAAACCUGAUUUUAUUUGAGUAAUCAACAACAAUUAAGGACUUGGAAAUGACAAACAAAUGAAGGAAAGACUUCAGAAAGAAGAUAAAUUUAAUGACAUGAUUCAUUGCAAGAGACAUGACCUCAUUUCUUAUUAGAAUGAUUUCCACUAAACCAGAUUUGAUGUUAAUUAAAUUUACAGACUUUCCUCAAAUUUAUACUAAUGCAAUAUGUCUUUUUUUUUUUUGGUAAGGAAAAGAGAAAAGAUAUAAGGAAAAUUGUAAGACGUUGCCGCUUCCUCAUAUGACAGUUUUCUAGACGCCUCACCCUCAUCCAUCAUAAUACAGGAAUAAAAAAAGCAGAAAUAACUAGCAUGAUUUCUGAUAGCUGUCCCUAGAAGUGAACCAUAAAUAGUUGUGUGAGUGAAGCAGAUUUAGUUUUAUUUAAACUCCUAGCGCUUAAAUUCUUAAUUUUUAUAAUUAAACUGGUUUUACUUAAAAGUUAUUGAGUGAUUAAAAUUUAGAGAUUAAGCUGAGUGAAAUAAAAAGUUGUUUAUAAUAAACCCAAACAUUAGGCAAUAUGAUGUAGGCUAUAAGGUAUAAAAUGCCUCAAAAAAUAAGUUUGAGACUUUUCCAGCAUGUGUUUUCCUUAGGAUUUUUGCUUUGGCAUUAAAUAUGUAACUUUAUAUAGAGUGAUAAUAUUUAUAGAACACUUGGUAUAUGUCAAACACCAUUCUAAGUAUUUUAUUUAAUCUUCACAAAGAUUUUAGGAGGCAGGUACAGUUAUUAUCCCAUUUUAAAGAUUUGGAAACAUGCUCUAGAGGUUAAGUAACUUGCCCAAGGCCUGACGGUCGGUGGGUAUAGAACUGGGAUUCCAGCCUGAUUGCUCAAAGCCCUGUGGCUACGUAUUUUCAAUCACUCACUAAACAGACUUAUAGCUAUAUAUAUGAAUAUUCAUUUUUCAACUUAGAGAUUAUUAAUUCAUUUUUAUCAGACCUCUUGGACAGUUUACUAAUUUAGACAUUUUUGCAUUAGCCUUUUCAUUCAUUUAUAUUUCAGGUGGCUAUGUGAGUAUAAGAUGGCCAUCUGUUAAGUCAAGCACCCGUAUAAUUUUUAACGGAAUUAUCCCUUCAAAUUUUCUUCUUCUGUCCUCUUUUAUUGAUUGAUGGAUUGAGACAGGGUCUUGCUCUGUCAUCCCAGGCUAGAGUGCAGUGUCGUGAUCACAGCUCAUUGCAGCCUGGACCUCCCAGGCUCAGUUGAUCCUCCUGCAUCAGCCUCCUGUAGCUGGGACUACAGGCACACACCACUACACCCAGCUAAUUUAUUUACUUUUUUUUUUUUUUUUGAGAAAGAGUCUCACUCGGUCACCCAGGCUGGAGUGCAGUGGCACGAUUUUGGCUCACCACAACCUCUGCCUCCUGGGUUCAGCGAUUCUCCUGUCUCAGCCUCCCAAGUGGCUGAGAUUACAGGCACACAUCACCACGCCUGGCUAAUUUUUGUAUUUUUAGUAGAAACGGGGUUUCACCAUAUUGGCCAGGCUGGUCUUCAACUCCUGGCCUUGUGUUCCAUGCCCCCCCCCCACCUUGGCCUCCCAAAGUGCUGAGAUUACAGGCGUGAGCCACCGCACCCGGCCUAAUUUAUUUACUUUUUUUAAAGAUAGCGCCUUGCCAUAUUACCCAGGCUAAGUGUGGAACUCCUGGGCUCAAGUGAUCCUCCCGCCUUGGCCUCCCAACGUGUUGGGAUUACCGGCAUGAGCAACCACACCCAGCCUUCUGUGCUCUUUUGAACAGACCCUUGGCAUGGAUAGUGGGUGCAUGGGUAAGUCUUUCCACUUCCUGUCUCUCUGUUACCUUUCCCCCUCUUUUUCUUCCUUCAGACCUAUUGCUCCAUAGAACUCUAUACCUACUGGCUGUGUUUACGGCAUCUAAUGUGUUAGUCCCCGAAGAUGUGUUAGCAUACUCAGUCACUCAAUUGUUGGCUGAAUGCCUACAAAUCACCCAAACCUUCAGAAGAUGGAGAAGGGAGGAGGAACCAAGAGGGCAAGACAGGAAUGUUGGAGGUUCAUUAGCGUGGCUGAGAUGAAGGACUGUGUUUUUAAAAUUUUCUUUUGCCUCUCUUCUUCAGUCUAUACCUUUGGCUGAGAGCUGGCACAUCGCUAAUGGCAAUCAAGGCUAACGGGUCACUACCCCUUACAGUUCCUGUGGUCUCUCUCUUUAGGCACUGGUUCUGUAGUUUGUGGCCAUUAGAGCGCUCAUCUGUAGCUCUGCCGAAGACAGGAGAAAAAAGAGUGUAGUCAGUCUCAGAUCAAUCCCAGUUGUUGCUUGUUUACAGUGCCUAUAUAAGGAGGGUUAAGAAGUUAGAAAUAAAAUUAUUCUGAAGGGGAUGAUUUGUGACUUAUUAAUCCAUGUGAUUUUCGAUGCUCAUUAUCACUGAAAAUUGAGUUGGCUAAGUCUGUUUAACUUUUGUGAUUAAGGAUCAGUGUGAGGAUUUGAUGUUUGGGCUGAGAGGCAGAAAAAGAUUGUAUGCACACAUCCUCCCACUUAGCACUUAGUUCUCUUUAUCUUUGGCCAACAACUGGUUCUCUAGCUCCUGUACAGUGAAGUGACAUCUAGGGAACAGCAUGGAGGAAGGGACAGCAGCUGGCAAGCCCGACCUAUCGAGUCACUCUGCCAUCGGGGUAACAGGCAUGGCUGUGCCCAGUGUCUUAACAUCCGAGGUGCCCCAGGGGCAGUGGAGACACCUCUUCAGGCCCUACUAAAGAGAACCACCUGGCCUCUUAUUAGCUAAUGGAUGUGUCUUUUUUUUUUCAGAGUUCCAUAAUUAAGCGUUUACCAUGUGAUAUUUCUCUAACCCAGAUAUUAAAACAUAGUACAAAUAUUUAAAAAUAUUUUAAAUCUGAUAACAAGCACAUAGUUUUCCGGAUCUUUUUUCUAGUGUUUCUUAGGGCUCAACAGGUGGCCACUCUUCCUUGCCUCUAGUGCAUGGCCCGACUCUGGCUGUGCCAUCUUCUCCUCUCAGGCUAGGGGAGGGCCUGGCUUCCCACUGCUGCUGGGCCCUGGGAGCCUCACCGUUGUUGAUUCCCUUAACUCUGCCCACACUUCUUAAAAGUCUUUACAAAAACCCCUAAGGAAUAUGCCUUUGAUGACCACCUCAGAUGGUGCCUGAUUCAGACACCCAUCAUGAUCCAGCCCCUCCUUUACCUACAGUCUACACUGCUGUCUUUGUUUUCUACAUCCUUGCUUCUGACGCAUCAGACUGCUGCCCUAACCCACCCACCACUCUCAACCUUGCAUAUGCUGUUCUUUCUGCCAAGAAUACGAAGACUUCCUAGAGCCCCUUCCACGUGGGCUGCCUCUAUUAUUGCAGUUACCACAUUGCAUUUUUUAAUUAUUUUUACAUGUCUUUAAUUUUUAUUUUUUAAGAGAUGGUGUCUUGCUUUGUCACUGAUGCAGGAGUGCAGUGGCACAAUCAUAGCUCACGGCAACCUCAAACUCUUGGGCUCAAGUGAUCCUCUCACUUAAGCCUCCCCAGUAGCUGGGACUGCAAAUGCCUGGCUACCAUAUUGAAUUUUAACUACUGCCUUGCGUUUCCAAAACUGGAAGUUCCUUGAGGUCAAAGAGGGUGUCUUACUCAUCUGUACCUUUUUGGUGCUUAGCACAAAGCCUCACUUAUGGUAGCACAUGGGAAAGUAAUAGCUGAAUAAUAACUGAAAAUAAGUUUCUUUCUUCUGUUGAUUCUUUUCCUAAAUCAGCUUUCUAGGGUUUCAAAAUUGAAUUUUAAAAAAUUUCAAUCUUGUCAGUAUUCAUGUAGAUAAAAUUAUGUACUUUAAUCAAUGUGUACAUGAUAGCAUGCUUUUACAGUACUGUUUACAGCGAUGUGCUCCUGAAAGUUCCAUAAAUUAAUAUUUGAAAUUUAGGUGUUUUUAAAUGUAAUGUAAUUUGAUUUCUUGAUUAGUGGUGAAGCUUUUUUUGUGUAUAGUAAAGAAUCAUUCUGUAAGUUAUAUGAGUUUUUCCUGUAUCAGAUUUGCCUUAAAUAAUCCUAUGUUGAACUCAUUAUAAAUAGGUUUGACUCAGAAGUAUCAUUUUAGUGUUUUUUUGCUUGUGAACAGAAGAAUAAGGACCACAAUGUAAUCAUCGUAUUUUUCUUCACGGGAAUUCCACCAUCUGUGUGUUUUGGGCAGUGGGAGAAGGGGGAGGGCAAACUUCUUCUCGGUCCCUCCUGUGUUUCUCUAGUUCUAGCAGGGACGUUUCUGUAAUUGGUUUUCAACAUUUGCUGAGAGUCUGUUUCCUCUUAACAUUCAACAUGUUUAACAGAAGUCUUGUAAUAGUUCCAAAAAUAAUAAAACCAGUCCCAGGAAUAAAAAUGAUACAUUCACA